UGACUCCAAAGGCCGUUUGAGAAGC
rnacentral:piRNA from 2 species